rnacentral:rRNA from 1 species
GGGAACGUACCCUUCGGUUCGGAAUAACUCAGGGAAACUUGAGCUAAUACCGGAUACGCCCUUUUGGGGAAAGGUUUACUGCCGAAGGAUCGGCCCGCGUCUGAUUAGCUUGUUGGUGGGGUAACGGCCUACCAAGGCGACGAUCAGUAGCUGGUCUGAGAGGAUGAUCAGCCACACUGGGACUGAGGCACGGCCCAGACUCCUACGGGAGGCAGCAGUGGGGAAUAUUGGACAAUGGGCGCAAGCCUGAUCCAGCCAUGCCGCGUGAGUGAUGAAGGCCUUAGGGUUGUAAAGCUCUUUUGUCCGGGACGAUAAUGACGGUACCGGAAGAAUAAGCCCCGGCUAACUUCGUGCCAGCAGCCGCGGUAAUACGAAGGGGGCUAGCGUUGCUCGGAAUCACUGGGCGUAAAGGGCGCGUAGGCGGCCGAUUAAGUCGGGGGUGAAAGCCUGUGGCUCAACCACAGAAUUGCCUUCGAUACUGGUUGGCUUGAGACCGGAAGAGGACAGCGGAACUGCGAGU